AUUGAACGCUGGCGGCAGGCCUAACACAUGCAAGUCGAACGAGUGGCGGACGGGUGAGUAAUGUCUGGGAAACUGCCUGAUGGAGGGGGAUAACUACUGGAAACGGUAGCUAAUACCGCAUACCAUCAGAUGUGCCCAGAUGGGAUUAGCUAGUUUGUGGGGUAACGGCUCACCAAGGCGACGAUCCCUAGCUGGUCUGAGAGGAUGACCAGGCACACUGGAACGGAAACAAGGUCCAGACGCCUACGGGAGGCAGCAGUGGGGAAUAGUGCACAAUGGGCGCAAGCCUAGUCCAGCCAUGCCGCGUGUCUGGAGAAGGCCUUCGGGUUGUAAAGGACUUUCAGCGGGGAGGCGUUACCAGCAGAAGAAGCAUCGGCUAACUCCGUGCCAGCAGCCGCGGUAAUAC
rnacentral:rRNA from 1 species